rnacentral:rRNA from 1 species
UGGUCCUGGCCUUGAAAUCAGUAUUUACUUAAUUUACACAUGCAAGUCUCCGCACCCCUGUGAGAACGCCCUUAAAUCCCCCAUAGGGAAGAGGAGCCGGUAUCAGGUUCAUUUUUUAGCCCAAGACACCUAGCUACGCCACACCCACAAGGGAAUGCAGCAGUGAUUAACAUUGAUAAUAAGCGCAAGCUUGAACCAGUUAAAGUAAAGAGAGCCGGCAAAGCUGGUGCCAGCCGCCGCGGUUAAACCACGCGACUCAAAUUGAUCCCCUAGCGGCGUAAAGCGUGAUUAAAGCUAAUUAAAACUAUAGUAAAACCAGAAUUAAGCCGUUAUAAACUUAUUCUGCGGAACCCCAAAAACGAAAGUUACUACAACUCAAACAACUUGAACUCACGACAGCCAGGAAACAAACUGGGAUUAGAUACCCCACUAUGCCCGGCCGUAAACCUUAACUUACACCCAAAUCGCCAGAGAACUACGAGCAAAGCUUAAAACCCAAAGGACUUGACGGUACCCCAUAUCCACCUAGAGGAGCCUGUCCUAUAAUCGACAAUCCCCGUUCAACCUCACCACUUUUAGCCUAUCAGUCUGUAUACCUCCGUCGUCAGCUUACCACGUGAGCGACUAUAGUGAGCUCAAUGU